CCUACGGGUGGCUGCAGUGGGGAAUAUUGCACAAUGGGGGAAACCCUGAUGCAGCGACGCCGCGUGAGUGAAGAAGUAUUUCGGUAUGUAAAGCUCUAUCAGCAGGGAAGAUAAUGACGGUACCUGAGUAAGAAGCCCCGGCUAACUACGUGCCAGCAGCCGCGGGACUACGUAGGGGGCAAGCGUGAUCCGGAUUUCCUGGGUGUAAAGGGAGAGUAGACGGCAUGGCAAGUCUGAAGUGAAAGCCCCGGGCUCAACCGCGGGACUGCUUUGGAAACUGUUAAGCUGGAGUGCAGGAGAGGUAAGUGGAAUUACUAGUGUAGCGGUGAAAUGCGUAGAUAUUAGGAGGAACACCAGUGGCGAAGGCGGAUUGCUGGACAGUAACUGACGCUGAGGCGCGAAAGCGUGGGGAGCAAACAGGAUUAGAUACCCUGGUAGUC
rnacentral:rRNA from 1 species